ACUCCGUACGGGAGGCAGCAGUAGGGAAUCUUCCACAAUGGGCGCAAGCCUGAUGGAGCAACACCGCGUGAGUGAAGAAGGGUUUCGGCUCGUAAAGCUCUGUUGUUAAAGAAGAACACGUAUGAGAGUAACUGUUCAUACGUUGACGGUAUUUAACCAGAAAGUCACGGCUAACUACGUGCCAGCAGCCGCGGUAAUACGUAGGUGGCAAGCGUUAUCCGGAUUUAUUGGGCGUAAAGAGAGUGCAGGCGGUUUUCUAAGUCUGAUGUGAAAGCCUUCGGCUUAACCGGAGAAGUGCAUCGGAAACUGGAUAACUUGAGUGCAGAAGAGGGUAGUGGAACUCCAUGUGUAGCGGUGGAAUGCGUAGAUAUAUGGAAGAACACCAGUGGCGAAGGCGGCUACCUGGUCUGCAACUGACGCUGAGACUCGAAAGCAUGGGUAGCGAACAGGAUUAGAUACCCUGGUAGGAUAGCG
rnacentral:rRNA from 1 species